rnacentral:rRNA from 1 species
UACGUAGGGUGCAAGCGUUAAUCGGAAUUACUGGGCGUAAAGCGUGCGCAGGCGGUUCGGAAAGAGAGGUGUGAAAUCCCAGGGCUUAACCUUGGAACUGCACUUCUAACUACCGGGCUAGAGUACGUCAGAGGGGGGUAGAAUUCCACGUGUAGCAGUGAAAUGCGUAGAGAUGUGGAGGAAUACCGAUGGCGAAGGCGGCCUUCUGGACCAAUACUGACGCUCAUGCACGAAAGCGUGGGGAGCAAACAGG